ensembl:lncRNA
CUGAAAUCCUGCUGCCGGGCUUUGUUGUCUAUAGGAUUGCAGGGAGGAGCUGAAAUAGGAAGAAAUAAAGAAAAAAAAAUGAGCUCAUUACUGCAAUGCUUCUGACUUAAGGUCUGGCCCAUGAAUGGAAUACAUGGCAAGGAGGAAUACGUUUGGAAUUUCACCCCAGUGAAACAGAGCUUUUUCUAGGAAUCAGCCAAUGGAACAGGUGUUGAGCGGCAUGCAGAAGUGGCACCAGAACUCACAUCACAAAUAACGUGAAUCCUUCAUAACAAAUCCUGUUGACUGUAUCAUCUGUACCUUCAUCACUAGUGAUUGUCAUGAUUGUAACAACACUGGCUUUUUAAUUAUCAUAUCAAGAUACUACCAGUACUAAAUUGAAAGUAGCAGAUAAUCCAGUGUCCCAGAGAAGGUUUUCUUUUCGUGAUUUGAGAUUCAGGCAGAUACUUCCACAUUAAGUUCUUUCUUUUUUUGUUCACAGCUAUGAGAGCCAGAGGUUGAAUCUUUAAAAACUUUAAAAACAAAUUGCAGAGAGAAAUAUGGCACCCUUAAAAAUAUUACAAGUUCACUGACCUAAUACUGGUAGGACAAGUUUGAGCCUUGAACUUAUUCCUCAGAAAGAAGGCUUACUGGAGGACUGUUGAGAUAAAACCACAUAUUUAAGGCACAAAAAAAAAUGGAAAAAUGAAAGGAGAGUCACAAAAGCUUUGUACUGGUCCCAAGAAGAAAUAAGGGUCUGAGAAGACAUGAGAUAAACUGACUCAUAGAAUCACAGAAUUAUAGAAUCCUUAGAGUUGGAAGGGACCUCUAAAAGUCAUCUAGUCCUACAACCCUUCCAUGAACAGGGACAUAUACAGCUAGAUGAAGUUGCUCAGAGGCUGGUCCAGCCUUGAAUACCUUCAGGGACAGGGACUCCAUCACAUCUCUGGGUAACCUGUGACAGUGCCUCAACACUCUCACUGGAAAAUACAUUUUCCUUACAUCCAACCUAAAUCUACCCUCUUUUAAGUUUAAAAUCAUUUCCUCUUGUUCUAUCACAACUGACCAUGCUAAAGAGCCUGCCCCCUCCCUUCUUAUAGACCCCUUUAGGUACUGAGAGGCUGCUCUCAGGUCUCCACAGAGCCUUCUCUUCUCCAGGCUGAUCAGCCUCAGCUCUCUCAGCCUGUCCUUGUAGGGCAGGUGUUCCAUCCUUUGGAUCACUUCUGUGGCCUUUCUCUGGGCUCUGUACAGAGUAGAGAGGCAGGAUCAUCUCCCUCACCCUCCUGG